CCUACGGGGGGUAGCAGUAGGGAAUCUUUCACAAUGGGUGAAAGCCUGAUGGAGCAACGCCGCGUGCAGGAUGAAGGCCUUCGGGUUGUAAACUGCUUUUAUAAGCGAGAAAUAUGAUGGUAACUUAUGAAUAAGGAUCGGCUAACUACGUGCCAGCAGCCGCGGUCAUACGUAGGAUCCGAGCAUUAUCCGGAGUGACUGGGUGUAAAGAGUUGCGUAGGUGGCAUAAUAAGUAGCUAGUGAAAUCUGGUGGCUCAACCAUUCAGACUAUUAGCUAAACUGUUAAGCUCGAGACCGUUAGGGGUAACUGGAAUUUCUAGUGUAGGAGUGAAAUCCGUAGAUAUUAGAAGGAACACCAAUAGCGUAGGCAGGUUGCUGGGACGGUUCUGACACUAAGGCACGAAAGCGUAGGGAGCAAACGGGAUUAGAUACCCCGGUAGUC
rnacentral:rRNA from 1 species